GACGAACGCUGCCGCCUUGCUUAACACAUCCAAGUCGAACGGGGAUGCUCCAGCUGGCUGGAUGGGAUCAUUGCCGAACGGGUGGGUAACACGUGAGCAACCUCCCCCAGACCCUGGAAUAAGCGCUGGAAACGGCGUCUAUUACGGGAUACGAAACUGGCCGGCAUGGGCAUGGUUUGGAAGGUUUUUCGGUUUGGGAUGGGCUCGCGGCCUAUCAGCUUGUUGGUGAGGUAAUGGCUCACCAAGGCGACGACGGGUAGCCGGCCUGAGAGGGCGACCGGCCACACUGGGACUGAGACACGGCCCAGACUCCUACGGGAGGCAGCAGUGGGGAAUAUUGCACAAUGGGCGAAAGCCUGAUGCAGCGACGCCGCGUGAGGGAUGACGGCCUUCGGGUUGUAAACCUCUUUCAGCAGGGAAGAAGCGAAAGUGACGGUACCUGCAGAAGAAGCACCGGCUAACUACGUG
rnacentral:rRNA from 1 species